rnacentral:rRNA from 1 species
CUGGAGCUUGCUCCGGCCGAUUUAGUGGCGGACGGGUGAGUAACGCGUGGGUAACCUGCCUCAUACAGGGGAAUAACAGUUGGAAACGGCUGCUAAUACCGCAUAAGCGCACAGGAUCGCAUGAUCCGGUGUGAAAACUCCGGUGGUAUGAGAUGGACCCGCGUCUGAUUAGCUAGUUGGUGAGGUAACGGCCCACCAAGGCAACGAUCAGUAGCCGGCCUGAGAGGGUGAACGGCCACAUUGGGACUGAGACACGGCCCAUACUCC